rnacentral:rRNA from 1 species
UACAUGUGGGGCAAGCGUUGUUCGGAAUUACUGGGCGUAAAGGGUGCGCAGGCGGCCGUGUGUGUGAGGCGUGAAAGCCCGGGGCUUAACCCCGGAAUUGCACCUCAAACUACAUGGCUAGAGCAUUGGAGAGGGUAGCAGAAUUCAUGGUGUAGCAGUGAAAUGCGUAGAUAUCGUGAGGAACACCAGAGGCGAAGGCGGUUACCUGGCCCACUCUUGACGCUGAGGCGCGAAAGCUAGGGGAGCAAACGGG